rnacentral:rRNA from 1 species
UACGGGGGGGGUAAGCGUUGUUCGGAAUUACUGGGCGUAAAGGGCGCGUAGGCGGCAUGGCAAGUCAGGAGUGAAAGGCCUGGGCUCAACCGAGGAACUGCUUUUGAUACUGCCAAGCUAGAGUGCGGAAGGGGCAACUGGAAUUCCCAGUGUAGCGGUGAAAUGCGUAGAUAUUGGGAAGAACACCUGAGGCGAAGGCGGGUUGCUGGGCCGACACUGACGCUGAGGCGCGAAAGCCAGGGGAGCAAACGGG